AUACUUACCUGGCAGGGCAGAUACCAUGAUCACGAAAGUGGUUUUCCCAGGGCGAGGCUUAUCCAUUGCACUCCGGAUGUGCUGACCCCUGGCGAUUUCCCCAAAUGUGGGAAACUCGACCGCAUAAUUUGUGGGUAGUGGGGGGACUGCGUUCGCGCUCUCCCCUG
rnacentral:snRNA from 1 species